AUGAACGCUGGCGGCGUGCCUAAUACAUGCAAGUCGAGCGAACAGAUGAGGAGCUUGCUCCUCUGACGUUAGCGGCGGACGGGUGAGUAACACGUGGAUAACCUACCUAUAAGACUGGGAUAACUUCGGGAAACCGGAGCUAAUACCGGAUAAUAUAUUGAACCGCAUGGUUCAAUAGUGAAAGACGGUUUUGCUGUCACUUAUAGAUGGAUCCGCGCCGCAUUAGCUAGUUGGUAAGGUAACGGCUUACCAAGGCAACGAUGCGUAGCCGACCUGAGAGGGUGAUCGGCCACACUGGAACUGAGACACGGUCCAGACUCCUACGGGGGGCAGCAGUAGGGAAUCUUCCGCAAAGGGCGAAAGCCUGACGGAGCAACGCCGCGUGAGUGAUGAAGGUCUUCGGAUCGUAAAACUCUGUUAUUAGGGAAGAACAAAUGUGUAAGUAACUAUGCACGUCUUGACGGUACCUAAUCAGAAAGCCACGGCUAACUACGUG
rnacentral:rRNA from 1 species